GUUGUUAUUCUUCUGGUUGUAGAUUACAUUAAUAAAUUACUUCUGGACGUGAUAUAUAUACAAAUAUAAAUUAAAUAUAUAAAUAAGUAUGUUGGGAAAACCAUCGCCAACAGAGUUAAGUAUUAUAAAUGUGAUAAAAUUAACAUUAUUAUUUGUAUGUCUUUUCCAUAUCUCGGGACCAUGGGGUCCCGGACCUUUGGGAGGCGUACGUGGGGCCGAAGCCAACAGCGCAGAGGCCCUUUAAGGCACUUCAAUCUAAAAGCAAGGGAUACAUGUGGUGUAUACUAUCCCCGAACGCACAAUGUGAUACAUCCGGAGAUGGUCCCCGCGAUGUGCAAAAAGCAAUGCUGCAAUAGCAGUGCAGCACUUUUGUGCUGCGAUGGGAACUAAGGUCAUGGGCUAUAGAUUUGAAAGUUGGAUGGACUGGAUAAUGGGCUGUGGGAGAGACUAGCGGACACCUGCCGUGACAAUCAGUCUCAAAAUUGUAAAUGACAGGUGGUGACUCGCCAACUCAUUGAGUGGGCCCCGCAAUGGCCGCACGCACAGUGCGACAACAGGGCAACACUUUGGAGUGGCUGUGAGGUUGUCGAGAGGUGAGCCUGCGGUAGCCAGAUCCCGGUAAUCCGUUCAGCAGGCCGCCGGCGUUAUGACAUUUUACUCUUCCAACCUGGAGCAUAGGUCCCGCUCUUGCGACUCCAUUCUGGCCGGCCAAUCAAGGCAAGCACAGAGGCGAGGGCCAAAUGACAGGGCCCUCUGGAAUAGGGGUCCGCGGUGUCGCCACUCACCGACAGCUCGCCACAAGCGGCCCCCGCGGGACAUUAUUAUUAUUAUUGUGGUGUUGUGGGCCUUUGAGUGGCGCAUUGACCAGCAUUGAUCUAUUGUGACGGCCGUUUAAGUUCAUUACUAAUGCCCGUUGCAUCCAGAAAGUUCCAGAUUCUUUGGGCCGUAAUGUUUUGUGCCUCAUAGGGUUGCACUACGUGUCGCCCUAGGUAGGUACUUCUUUUUGACAUUAGUGGUCCACAAGAACAGAGAAUGUGCAUUGCAGUCUCCUCUGACUCCUGACAGAACCUGCAUGUCGCAUCUUGUUUCUUGCCAAUUUGAAACAUAUGUUUGUUCAACUUGCAGUCUCCAGUCAGUAUUCUGGUCACCGCGUAGGUUUUGUGCCUUUUGAGUCCUAAAAGCUCCUUAGCAGUUUUGCUGUUGAACCCUUUGAUCAGAGCUUUCGAGUGUUCUUGUCCUUUAACGAACUUCCACCAAGCGAUUGCUCUCGUUUUUUCUAAGUUGCUGACCAGAGAAUAUGCAUCCCGUUUUGUGAUUCCACAGAACGGUUCUGGGCCGACCAGGGGUGUGUCUGCGCCCUUUCUAGCAAGUUCGUCCGCCUCUUCGUUUCCGUUAAUGUCGGAGUGCCCUGGUACCCAUCUAACGUGCAUAUUCUGUAGACGCACUGCUUUGCCUCCUUUUGCACCUGCAAGUGGAGUGGUAUGAUGUCCAGCAGUGCAUCUAGGGCCGCUCCCGGUGUCGAGGACAAAAAUGUAAAUAACAAUACAAUUUUAAUCCAAUUUUUAUAUCAUUUCAUUUUUUUAUACAAUAAAUAAUACACUUCGUACUACAUUUCAUCUACAUUUACGUUGGUUGUAUCUAUCGCUUUAUUGUCAUUCUUAAAUUCCCCGUUAUAUCAAGGAGAAAGAAAGGAAAAAAAAGAAACCAAAAAACCUUUUUCGGUCAGAUUAAGAGAACCCACCAACAUUUUUGUCAGAUUAAAAAAAUAUGCUUUCAGGAUACCGAGAUAAACCUCCCCUAUGAAAAUCUGACGCGCUCGAGUAUUUCAAAAAAACUUUUUUAUUUUGCAUUUUCAAAAAUUCAUCGUAACUUAUCGUCACGCCGAAAUCGUCAGUUUUUUUAAAGGAAGCUUCCUUGGGGCCUACUUAACACCCCUUCCGAAAAUCUGACGCGCUCGAGUAAAUUUUUUUUUUGCAUUUUUGACUACUUUAUAUGCCUACCCCCACCACGCAAACCGGCAGCUUAGUAUACCGUUGUUAUCAGAGGCACUCGGGGCAUACGUAGUAUGAAUAUCUGACGCGCUCGAGAAUGCCCAAGUAACUGUUUUUUUUUACAUUUUUGAAAAACCGUACACGCCAAACCCACCGCUAAAAUGGUUUUUGCCAUACGAGCUUUUCUUUUCGAAAUUAUUUUAUCUUUCGAUUUUGAUAGCUCUCGACGGCGCCGUUGAAUUACGCCAUUUAGCUACCUCGCC